GCAAGUCAGAACGGCCUUCUGGGGACAGUAUCACAGACCCCAGCAACACAACACCCUGAAAAGGAUAUAUGGAACCUCCUGGCUUUUUUCUCUUCUGUUAAACAACUUCAGAGAUACAUUUUCUCUUUCUCUGAGCUGUUUGGUGUCUGCCUUACAGUUAGUCCUCAGUCAUCUGAACAUUUGGCCCAGGGAACAGUAUGGAAAUGUCAUAGUUUCAGCUGCAGCAACAAUGUAUGAAGAGGAAACACUAUAAAGAGGAACAAAGAGCUAGUGAAUUCAAAUCCCUCUGCAACAAUUUUACUAGCAAGUCAAACUUUUCCUACCCCGCAAAUGUCUGUCCUAAUUAUGCAAAAGAAAAAUGAAGAAUGCAACACAGCACUAAAACAGAGUAGUACUGGAAAAUAAAUUAAGCU